CCUACGGGAGGCAGCAGUGAGGAAUAUUUGUCAAUGGACGAGAGUCUGAACCAGCCAAGUAGCGUGAAGGAUGACUGCCCUAUGGGUUGUAAACUUCUUUUAUAUGGGAAUAAAAUGUUCCACGUGUGGGAUUUUGUAUGUACCAUAUGAAUAAGGAUCGGCUAACUCCGUGCCAGCAGCCGCGGUAAUACGGAGGAUCCGAGCGUUAUCCGGAUUUAUUGGGUUUAAAGGGAGCGUAGGUGGAUUGUUAAGUCAGUUGUGAAAGUUGGCGGCUCAACCGUAAAAUUGCAGUUGAAACUGGGAGUCUUGAGUACAGUAGAGGUGGGCGGAAUUCGUGGUGUAGCGGUGAAAUGCUUAGAUAUCGCGAAGAACACCGAUUGCGAAGGCAGCUCACUGGACUGCAACUGACACUGAGGCUCGAAAGUGUGGGUAUCAAAAAGGAUUAGAUACCCCAGUAGUC
rnacentral:rRNA from 1 species